rnacentral:lncRNA from 1 species
UGCAAUCUGAGGUCUAGAAAGUCAUAGUGAGUCCUAGGCCGUUUAUUGGCUUGGUUAAAUCAGCCUUGUAUCGAAAACACUGAAGACUGCUUGUUUCCCCAAGGAAGACUGCUUGUUUGCCCAAGAGGUGUAUCACUGAGGAAUUUCAAAGUAUCAAGUCCAUACUGAUCCCUGGAGAUGCGGGUGGAGAAAACCUUUCUCAGGAAGACAAAGCUAUAAGAAAUAAAGGAAUAAACUCGCAGAUUUAACACAGUAAAAGUAACAUUUUUAUUAGGGCAUCAUAAAGUUAAAAGAUAAUCAGGGAGAAAAUAUUUGUGAUAUACUGUAUCAGUCAAGGUAGACUAUCUUUUGUUACAAACAAUCGUUUUAGCUCAGUGUUUAGCACAGUGAAGUCUUCCUUCUUGCUCCCAAAGUAUCCAAUCACGUCCAUUCAAGACAGCGCUAUUCUAUGUAGUCCUCAGAAAGAAUGUCCUUUGUAGCAAGUGGCUUCGGCAUCUUUCAAUGUCCAUGAGUCCUACACUGGAUUUUCUGUAUUUAUCGCUACUUCUCAAGCAUGUCAUUUAUCCUCUUUUUAAGUUGAAACUUAUGCUCUGAAGACGUCUUCCCUUGGCAUGAAUUUCAGGUGACCUUUUGAUCAUAGUAACUGGGAUUUUGUCACAGUCCUGGGCGGAGGUGACCCCCUCAGAAGUCCCUGUCCUAUGGCCAAAAUGAUUAGAUUAGACUGAUGAUAUUUAUCCCCAGGAAAGUUUUUGUUUGUUUGUUUGUUUGCCACACUUAUUGGGAAAAGACUACCUCUUAUCCUCCUCCAAGCCACCCCCACCCAAACCAGUGCUGAAAGAUAUCAGCUCAGAGAUUCCUGUCACUUUUGUGCUUUACUGCAUGGUCAACUUGCCUGCUGUAGGAGAUGGUGAAUCCAAGUGCAAAAGUAAGAGACUAUCAGGUAUGGGAAACUGAGAAAGAAAAAGAUUCCUGAUAACACAGAAAGAAAGAUUUCCGACAACAUUUACCUGAGCUUCUGGAUUCAGUCAGGCUCACCUCUGGCUUUUUAUCCAGAUAGGCCAGUUGAUUCACUUCCUUUUUUUCCUUAUCUUAUUUCAAAUUAGGGCUCAACAGCAACUAUUUAGAUCCUUACCAAACUGUCUCCUCUAUUAGAGCUGCCCUGUGACCUCCCGUAAAUUGGUGGACACCUAUUCCGCAGAUGCACCGGGAGCCCACACAGCCAUACCAGUCUGAAUAAAUGUCUGACAAUUCAAAAUCCUCUCCUUAAAAUUUUUACAAGCUUUAAAGAGUCUUACAGGCAAAUUUUUUAAAUGUUAAGAAAAAAUGAUUAUUUAAAAAUCCUCAAUAGCCACAUGUUUCAAUCUACUCUGAGAUAUAUAAAGACUUGAGAUCAGGUUUUUAACAAAUGCUGUCUUUCUUAAUUAUUUAAUGUGGCUUAUGUGGAUAUAAAUAGUUGAAAAUAUUAUGUUCUCUGUUUUUGAUUUAGAGAAGAGAGAGACAGAGACAGAGACAGAGAUAUUGAGAGGGAGAAUCACAACUGGUAGAAUGUCUAAAUUUCUAGAAUAAUGUCACUUCCUUCUCUUCAUACACAGCAUGAAUUCUCCUAUAUUGGAUGCAGAUAACUUGUCUGGCCUCACAGGUUCACAGCUGAAGAGGAAUUUUGCCUCAGGAUGAACCAUACCUCAAGUCUCACCCAUACCUGAUUUAGGUGGUAUUUAAGUGAGGCUUUGAACGUGGAGUUAAUGCUGGAACGGGGUGAAACUUUGGGGGCUGUCGGGAUAGGGGGAAUGUAUUUUGCAUGUGAGAAG